CCUACGGGUGGCAGCAGUGAGGAAUAUUGGUCAAUGGACGAGAGUCUGAACCAGCCAAGUAGCGUGAAGGAUGACUGCCCUAUGGGUUGUAAACUUCUUUUAUAUGGGAAUAAAAUGUUCCACGUGUGGGAUUUUGUAUGUACCAUAUGAAUAAGGAUCGGCUAACUCCGUGCCAGCAGCCGCGGUAAUACGGAGGAUGCGAGCGUUAUCCGGAUUUAUUGGGUUUAAAGGGUGCGCAGGGGGGCUGUUAAGCCGGCGGUAAAAAUUCAGGGCUCAACCCUGUCGAGCCGUCGGAACUGGCAGUCUUGAGUGGGCGAGAAGUAUGCGGAAUGCGUGGUGUAGCGGUGAAAUGCAUAGAUAUCACGCAGAACGCCGAUUGCGAAGGCAGCAUACCGGCGCCCAACUGACGCUGAGGCACGAAAGCGUGGGGAUCGAACAGGAUUAGAUACCCGGGUAGUC
rnacentral:rRNA from 1 species